rnacentral:tRNA from 1 species
GCCCCCGUAGUGUAACGGAUAGCAUAACUGUUUUCUACACAGUCGGCGAGGGUUCAAAUCCUUCCGGGGGUA